rnacentral:rRNA from 1 species
GAUGAACGCUGGCGGCGUGCCUAAUACAUGCAAGUCGAGCGAACGGACGAGAAGCUUGCUUUUCUGAUGUUAGCGGCGGACGGGUGAGUAACACGUGGAUAACCUACCUAUAAGACUGGGAUAACUUCGGGAAACCGGAGCUAAUACCGGAUAAUAUUUUGAACCGCAUGGUUCAAAAGUGAAAGACGGUCUUGCUGUCACUUAUAGAUGGAUCCGCGCUGCAUUAGCUAGUUGGUAAGGUAACGGCUUACCAAGGCAACGAUGCAUAGCCGACCUGAGAGGGUGAUCGGCCACACGGGAACUGAGACACGGUCCAGACUCCUACGGGAGGCAGCAGUAGGGAAUCUUCCGCAAUGGGCGAAAGCCUGACGGAGCAACGCCGCGUGAGUGAUGAAGGUCUUCGGAUCGUAAAACUCUGUUAUUAGGGAAGAACAUAUGUGUAAGUAACUGUGCACAUCUUGACGGUACCUAAUCAGAAAGCCACGGCUAGCUACGUG